rnacentral:piRNA from 2 species
UUGUAGGUGUUCAGCAAUGGUGAUAAAGCA